rnacentral:misc_RNA from 1 species
UAUUUGCUAACAUGGCGGCUGCAUGUGCUAAGAAGCUUUGCCAACUUCUGUUGCUGAUUGCACCGGCAUUUGGUCUCUAUGAAGAUCAAGUUGGAAAAUUUGAUUGGAAGCAGUCGUAUGUGGGGAAGCCAGUGUACAUGUUCUGGGACCAGUCAUCUAGUGGGAAGAAGCUCCUUGUUUCUACAGAGAAGAAUGUACUCGCCUCCAUACAUGCCAACAAUGGAAGCAUAGUGUGGCGACGUAUGUUUGAAGAGGACGAGAGAGGUCAAAUGGACACUGUGCUUCACCAGGGGAGCUCCCUAGUAACGGUGUCUGGAGGGGGCAAGAUGGUGCGGGGUUGGCACCCAUCUACUGGCUCUCUCUCAUGGGAGUCAGUGCUGAAGGCUGAACCAAACAUGAGGGCUUCUGGUGUUUUCACAGGACGUUCUAAAGCUGAGAAUGUAGUGGUGGCAACAGCCCAUGGUCUGUAUGCUCUGCGUGUUUCGGACGGUGUCAAGGACUGGGAACUGGAUCUCCCCAACAGUGAAACCGUAGACUACUGGUACAUGGCCAGUCGAGAUCACGACAUUAUCCUGGUGGGCGUGACCCCUAAAGCUAAGGUUACCAUAGUAACAGUGGGACAGGGAGGGAAGCUGAAAUCUCACCGAGCUGUUCCUUCUCUGUGGAUCACAGUCGAGACAAGCUGCACUAUAUCAGGAGAAGAGUACUUUGUGUGUUACCGACCAGAAACCCAGUCUCUCCAGACCCUACCUCUGACAGUCGGCCAGGCAUUCACCCCCCAUUCUCUACAGGAUCUGAAUCUUCAAGCCAGCAUCUUCACCCAAGUCCAAUCAAGUCCGGUCAACCCUAGUGCAGAUGACCCGAGGUCAGAGGUCAUUCUACGAGUGUCUAAAGACCACAUGGCAGUACUCACAGUUUCCAAGUCUGGAGUUAAAGUUGUGAAAGAUUUACCAAAGACGUCAUCAGCCCAGAUUACAUACCACGGAGACCGAGACUUCCUCCUUACUCUGCAUAGGUCAGGCCUGGAGUUGUCCCUGAGUGCGUACGACAUGAAAAGCUGGGGAGAGAUUGCCGACCUUGCCCAGACCAUGGCCUUCACCAACACUCAUGGACAUCCAAAUAUGUUACAUGGGCUGCUGUUUACCCGCAAGAAGGAUGGGAGAAUGUCCUGUAAAGUAGCCUUCACGUCGGAAGAUUACACCAUUCAUUUCAGAUCAGGGAAAACCACAUGGCGAAGAGAAGAAUCGCUGGCUUAUAUUCUCAGUGUGGAAAUGGUAGAUCUACCAUUGUCUGAGAACCAGGCCAAGUUUGAGGAUGAAUUUGGUUCCAUUGAAGAUGAUAUUGCUGCCAUGUUUGUGAAGCGGUUGCUGGCACAGCUGUCACAGAUACAGUCUUUUGCUGAAGGCCUGAUCAGCAAGCUUCAGGGCCACAGACAUCACUCCCCGAUGGUUGCCCAUGACAACGAGGACCUGGAGGAAGAGGAGGAUGACAUGGAGGAAGACCUGACCCGUGAUGAGUUUAACCUGAAGAAGAUCAUCAUCGCUGUAACAGCAUCAGGGAAGAUAUUUGGUUUGCGAAGUCACACAGGCAAGUUAGUGUGGCAGCAGUUCCUGCCAGAGUUGUCUCCCUUUGACCGCUACUCCAAACAGAGGCUGGUGUUGUACACACAGAGGACCACAGCACACUUCCCUCUGCUGCCCCAGUGUGUCGUGGUCGGCAAGAGUCGGAAAACUGGAAACGGCUUCCUUUAUGCCUUUGACCCAGUUACUGGGUCUCCUGUGGAAGGAUUGCCCACUCAAGGCCUUGACCUUGGCUAUGAUGUCAUCCAGGCUGCACUUCUGUCCGAGAUGAGUGAGGACUUUGUGAGAGGCCUGGUUCUACUCGGCUCCGACUACAGGGCCCGCUUCUACCCCGAGGCUGUGAAGUCAGUUGCUGAAGAACGUCUGUCGUCUAUGUUCAUGUAUGUGUCGGAGAUCGACACAGGCUACAUGAAUGGUUACCGGGUCCUGGCAAGAAGCAAUGGGGAGGUUGAGGCUGACCCAGUGUGGAACAUUGACCUGCAGAAAAAACAGCAGAGGAUUGUUGAUGUUAUCUCCAAAAGGGUUAAUGAACAUGUGCACUCACAAGGUCGAGUGUUGGGAGACAGAAGUGUGUUGUACAAGUACCUUAACCCCAACUUGGUUGCCGUGGUAACUGAGGGAGAGGAACCAGCUGUUACAUCAGCAACUCAUAAAGGUCCAUCCAGUUUCUUCAACAUUUACCUCAUCGAUGGAGUGACAGGUCACAUAGUGUUCCAUGUGAACCACAAGAGAGCAAAGGGUCCGGUCAACAUUGUCCACUCUGAGAACUGGGUGGUGUACUCCUAUUUCAACGAGCGUCACCGCCGACCCGAGAUGUCGGUGAUGGAGAUGUUUGAGGGGAAGGAGCAGAGUAACUCCACAGCCUUCUCCUCCUUCAACCCCCCUCCCCAGCCCCUGGUGCUGCGCCAGUCCUACAUCUUCCCACUCUCCAUCAGCACCAUGGCAACCACCGUCACCGAGAAAGGCAUCACCAGCAAGAACCUCAUCAUUGCUCUCAGGAAUGGAGGACUUCUUUCAAUUCCAAAGGCCUUGCUGGAUCCAAGACGACCCAUCAUCCCAUCACAAGAAACUAUGGAAGAGGGCACUAUUCCUUACAUUCCCGAGAUCCAGGUGUUCACAGAGGCCACCCUCAACUACAACCAGAGUGUGGUGAAAAUCAGGGGAAUUCACACCACACCAGCAGGACUGGAGUCUACAUCGCUUGUCCUAGCCUAUGGUCUCGAUCUUUUUUUACACACGUGUAAAUCCAUCCAAGAUGUUCGAUGUUCUGAAAGAAGAUUUUGAUUAUCUUUUCAUCGGUACCGUGUUGCUGAUAAUGAUUGCCGUGUCCGUUAUAUCACAGAAACUGGCGUCAAGAAAAGCUUUAAACAGAGCCUGGAAGUGAUGCAGACAACUGUUUUAGAAUAAUUUUGUUUAUUUAUUCAGAAUCGUAUGUCAUAAUGAUGUGCUCAAUCACAUUUUGUAGCAUUUAUAAGUUUUUCUGACAUUUAGACUAUCGUUACAUUAAAAAAAGCCCCUAUAUUUCUAAUAGGCCAGUAUAGUGAAGAUCACUUUUAGGAGGGUGAUUUCAUAUAAGUUUUAGUGUAAUCUUUGUAAAGUGAAAGGUAGAUACCAUGGGGGAAAAUCUAAGAAAAAUUAAUAAGUAAAAGUCAGUGGCCAAUUUUCAAAAUUUAAAUCAGCCAUAACUCUUUUUGUUAUGGCUGGUUCCACCCUCAAGAUUACUUUGUCCAAGUGUUUCAUAUGUCCUUCUUAAUCCAGAAUGUGGAUAUAAGUCUUACUCCAGGAUGUGGAUGUAGGUCUUACUCCAGGAUGUGGAUGUAGGUCUUACUCCAGGAUGUGGAUGUAGGUCUUACUCCAGGAUCUGGAGGUGGGUCUUAUUCCCAUCCUGGAUGUGGGUCUUAAUCCAGCAUGUGGAUGUGGAUCAAAAUCUACCAAACUAAAAUGUAAGGUAUUUACUUGAGUAGAUAUCGGUAAGAACAGUACAAGCAUGAUAAAACGUUUUCUUGGGUCACAGACUUACACUUUGAUGUUGAUUAAUCAAGAAGUUAGAAACAUCAUCAUUUUCUUUCUUUUGUACUUCAUCAUAUUUGAUUGUGUGAUAGAAAUAAGAAGAAAUACAAGUUGUCAUUAGACUGCAUGUUAAUAUCAUUUCAGUGUCAUUUUUCCUUUGCUUUUUUCAUUUCCUGUACUUGAAUUAUCAGAAAUAGACCUUUUGGAUUCAAAACUCAGCGCUAAUGUUUAUAUUAAAUAACUUUCAGAAAUAUGUUUGUGUUGCUAUAUAUAAAGAUAACUUAGUGUAACUGAUGUAUUAUUUCUUCAGGUUUUGAUACUUUUUCAUACAUUUAAUUUCGUAGAUUGUAAGAUAUUUAUAAGGGUGUUGAAAGCGAUGCAUUGUUUGUGACCAUGCAUCAAUCUGUGAACUUAAUGAUAAUCCAUGUAUAAUGCUGUCUGUGUUUCUAGAUGAAUGCCAUAAUCAGAUUUCAUUGCAACAAUUAUCAUUAAUUUUUGUAUUUCUUUAACCACAUGUUCACCUUGGGUCAUUUUGAGUUUGCGUUUAGAAGCUGUACAUAUUGGGAAUUUAAGAAUGAGUGAUCUAGCCUUAUUUGGAAUAUUCAUUUGUCUUAUAUAAUCUGUUUUGUCUGACACCGACCCUACCAUUACCAAGUGUAGUGAUGGUAGUAAUGAUCUUCAAUACAAACAAGAUCAUGCAGGAAGAUCGCUGUACUUUUGUUUUCAUUUUACCAAACUGCCGCACUGGUAUAUUUCCUUUGUUUCAUAAGAAAGAAUAGUUUCAGAACAAUUUAGAGUUAAAUGUCAUUUUAUGAAAGAAAUUAACAUAACGAACAUUAAGGUUGAAAGCCAUAAAAAAAUAUUAGGUCAACCGUGCAUGAUUUUUUCACCACCUGGGGGCAGUGUGGUAGGCUAGUGGUUAAAGCGUUCGCUUAGACAAAGACCCGGGUUUGAUUCCCCACUUGGGUACAAUGUGUGAAUCCCAUGUCUGGUGUCCCUAGCCGUUGUGUUGCUGGAAUAUUGCUAAAAGCGACGUAAAACCAAACUCACUCACUCACUCUCCCCCUGCCCCCUCUCCCCUCAUAUGAUGUAUUCUUUUUCCAUGACUCCCUCUCCCUAAACAUUUACAGUAACUUGAACCAAUGGAACUGGCAUUUCUAAUGAAAUGCAGUGCUGAAGUUACUAAUGGAUAGAUGAAGAACGGUAAACAUACUUUCUUUGACAAUAUGAUCCAGGGUUUUCAGAAUGCUGAUGCGCUAGAACCUAAUGCAUUGUGUUUCCUACUGAACCCCUUUAGUGAGUGACUUCAAAUCCUUUGUUGAUCCAUUCCAUUUCUGUAUUGUAUUGUCUGGCUGUGUGUGACUGAUUGCAAGAAACUGAAGUUUGGAUCAUACGUGAAUAUGCUGCAAAAUGCUUCAAGUGAUGCAGAUGUGAACAGAUCGUGAAACUGAGAGUGUGUGAAUUGUAUCACCUGAAAAUAAAUCUCAUGAAUGUU